CACUCCAGUUGUCUAGUGGUUAGAGCGUCCGCCGCGGUUGCGGGAGGUCGUGGGUUCGAUACCCAGCUGAGUCA